GCUUACCACUUUGUGAUUCAUGACUGGGGUGAAGUCGUAACAAGGUAACCGUAGGGGAACCUGCGGUUGGAUCACCUCCUUACCUUAAAGAA
rnacentral:rRNA from 8 species